UGCACGUGGGCAAGCUGA
rnacentral:misc_RNA from 1 species